rnacentral:misc_RNA from 1 species
AUUCUCUGCUUCAUUUAGUCUCUACCAGAGAAUUGAAACUUCGUCUCCUAACUUGCAUCCUUGUGGGGGAUCAAGGUUAUAAACAACUAUCCUUCUUGAUGGAGCUGCCUGGUUAUUAGUUUGUUCCACUAAUUCUUCCUCCAAUAUAGUACCUCCUGCAGCUAUCACCAAAUUCUGGAGAUCUUCCUUGUAACUGGACACAAAGUCACCAGCAAAAUAGAAUUUCAAGCCAUUGAA